rnacentral:rRNA from 1 species
AUGGUGUCGCCGCCGUCCUCCCACUUGCUGCGCGCCCCAUCUCCCCGACUCUGCUUUCUCUCCCUCGACAAAGCACUCCUGCCUCUUAUCUCAUUUCUCACCUCGCUCCACCCUCCCCUCAUCUCUCACCGCCAGCACACUCCUGCCGCUUGUCUCCACGCGGCCAAGGAUCUGACAACGAGGUGGAAGGAGGCGAGCACUAGCAAGCGCUGGCGGGAUCCUCUCGUCGGACCGGGAAGGAGGCGUGCAUUGGCGGAAGGAGACGGGUGCUGGCGGGAUCCUCGGUUGGAAGGAAGCGGGCACUGGUGGAAGGAGAUGGGCGCUGGCCGGAUCCUCAGAUGGAAGCGCUGGCGGCGCUUCUCAAAGGAAGGCUGA